GAGAUCAUACUUCACAGAAUCAUUUCUGUAGUAUGUAUUUCAUAGCCUCCUUCGUGUUGGCUCGACGACAACACCGCGAUGACGAGGUGUAGCGUCGUUCCCUGAGCGGGAAGCAGACUGUUGAAGAUGUUAGGUCUUCUUCAGACUUGAUGACCGUUGGGUCUGCAAGGGUUUUUGCGGAUCCAAUGGGCUCGACGCUUGCUGAGCGGU
rnacentral:snoRNA from 1 species